UUUAAAUAGCUUAAUAAAAGCAUUAUAGUGAAGUUAUAAAGAUAAUAUAUAAUAUUUUUAAAUA
rnacentral:tRNA from 1 species